GGAUACAAUAUCAACAUCGCGGAGAUAAGCGACGCGGGGGGUUUCAAAUGGACAGGAGAACACGCGUGUGUUUAUCCGGUGGAGAGAGGCUCAUGAUGCUGAAUGCUGUCAUCAAUGAAUGGGAACCGCUGUGUUGAGUCGGCAGUAGGGUUUGGGGUUCAGUGCCUGUAAAUACAUGCUUGUAGUUUGAAUAAAGCUGUUUCAUGUGUUGACUUGUA